UAGGUUUUUAAUAACAGUGUGUAUGACAUAAUCAAAAAUAUAACAUUAUGGUAAAGGUGUUUACAACGCAAGACAAAUGUUUGCUUUUGAAAUAUGUUUGUGAUUGUUACAAUGGAGAGUCAGAGACGUUCGGAUCCAAUUGCAGUAUUUAUUAACAGAAUGGUCAGACAGGUGGAAAUCAGGAAUGGCGUCAGGAAUGGCGUCAGGUAUGUCAGGGGUAACCAGAAUCGAAACCAGAAACAAGCAGAGAUCGGGGCAGGCAGCAGAGAAUCAGAGUCAGAAUACACAAUCCAAGAGUCAGACACGGAAGAACAAACAAAGGGAAACCGCUGGGAAAUGUUAGACAGGGCUAAACAAGACUUCGCAGUGUGAUGGUGUGAGUGUGCUGCUUAUAUGGGUGUGUGUGUAUUAGCUGCAGGUGUGUGUAUGUAAUUUGGUGCAGGUGUGUGUGUGCAAUCAGUCCCAGGAGUGAGGCAAGUUGGGAAAUGGAGUUCUGAAUGAGUCCUAAGUGGAGUGCCCUCUACUGAAGCUCACAGGCACUCCAGCUAGAGAUCGUGACAGUGAUAUUUUGACUGUGGUGUUUCAUUUUGAAAGAGAUGUGAGGCAUUUUGCAUCUUGUGUGUGCAAUUCUUGAAUUUGUGUGUUAAGUUUUGAAAAAAAGAGGAAACCUUUGGAAAAUGUGUGUAAGCAGUUGAAAAAAACUGUAAUCUUCUGACAAAGAUUUUCUACCCUAGACAGUCAUCUCUCAGUUCUGCAAAAAUACAGUACACGUAAGGACUACUUGGCUACAAAUCGAUUCAACAGUAAUGAGUUUGAGGGUGUACAACAGUUACAGUAUUUACUGUACAUAGAAUAAUGAAAGUGUUCUCAGCUGAAUUACUGCUACUAUGUGCUGUAAUUAUAUUGAAUGUGUAAUGUAUAUACCGGAAGUCAUGGCCUAGUGGUUAGAGAGUAUGACUCCUAACCCUAAGGUUGUGGGUUCGAGUCUCGGGCCGGCAAUACCAUGACUUAGGUGCCCUUGAGCAAGUCACUGAACCCCCAACUGCUCCCGGGGCGCCGCAGCAUAAAUGGCUGCCCACUGCUCCGGGUGUGUGCUCACGGUGUGUGUGUGUGUUCACUGCUGUGUGGGUGCACUUUGGAUGGGUUAAAUGCAGAGCACGAAUUCUGAGUAUGGGUCACCAUACUUGGUAUGUCACUUCACUUCACUUCACUUCACUUCACUUGUGUACGUCAUAUCAAACCAAUUAGAUGAGCCUAUAGGCCAACUUCCCUCAUGCUCAGUGAAUGCAGAAGAACAUGGUCAACUAUAGUGCUUUAUAUUUCAUCAGGAACAAAUGACCUUUGACCUCAUCCCCUUAAUUUUUAUUUUACCCUUCUAUUCCUCUAUGUCUCCCACUAUCAGGAUUCAUUUUCCAAAACACAUAAUCACCUGUGCUCUUGUACAUAACACCCUGAGAUUCUGACCUGUGUGUUAUCAGUUUUGCUACUUACAGUUUUUUUAAUUGUUGUGGCACAAUUUUCACAAGCAACUGGUAGAUUUUCAAAAAUCUUAGUACUUAUAUCACAACAGAUCAUUAAAAGUGCACUUUUUCAAAUAUUUCAGCAUAUUUUCAAUUUUGUUAGUAAAAUACAGUAAUCACAAAAUAUACUUUUCACUACACAAAAUAAG
ensembl:lncRNA